GAUGAACGCUAGCGGGAGGCUUAACACAUGCAAGUCGAGGGGUAAAUGGUAGCAAUACUAUGAGACCGGCGAACGGGUGCGUAACGCGUAUGCAACUUACCUUAUGCAGGGGGAUAGCCCGUGGAAACGCGGAUUAAUAUCCCAUAGAUCAGUGGUAUCGCAUGGUACAGCUGGUAAAGCUCAGGUGGCAUAAGAUGGGCAUGCGUCUGAUUAGCUGGUUGGUAGGGUAACGGCCUACCAAGGCGACGAUCAGUAGGGGUUCUGAGAGGACUACCCCCCACACUGGUACUGAGACACGGACCAGACUCCUACGGGAGGCAGCAGUAAGGAAUAUUGGACAAUGGAGGCAACUCUGAUCCAGCCAUGCCGCGUGCAGGAUGAAGGCCCUAUGGGUCGUAAACUGCUUUUGUACGAGAGAAAACCUAUUUAACGUGUAGAUAGUUGAUAGUAUCGUAAGAAUAAGGAUCGGCUAACUUCGUGCCAGCAGCCG
rnacentral:rRNA from 1 species